CUUACCUACUCCAAACAUGGGGGAGUAUUUGUGUAUAUAUCCAUGUGUUCUUUAAGCACAUGUGAUGCCACUCAAGGUUGGGGUGGGAGAUGAUUAGUAUGUCAAUUAAGGAGUAUUUCAGGAGACCAAGGCUGCCCCUGGCACCUCUCAGUGUGACAGAGAGAUAUAGAAGAGUCAUGGGGAGUUUACCUAGUUUGGUCAAAACAUGCCUCCUGGUACUAAUGAACAAGGGCUUAGGAGUCAGGAGGCGGGGUUCAAAUCCUUGCUCAGCUACUAUGUGACCUUGGCCAACUUCCUUCCAUGGCUCUCCAUUUCCUCAUCUAUCAAACAAAGAUUGUACAAACAAGUCCAACAAACCCACCAUUAUGCCCAUCCUGGCCCAUGAAAGCAAGCCCUCUGCUCUAGCCAAAAUUGGAAUCAUCAGCCUGAGACCCUGCUCCCCCUCCUAUGGCCCUAUCCUAUCCUGAUCAGACUGCACUAGAAUUCUCCCUGGUUCUGAGCUCUGCACUUCUUACCCUGUCCCGGAUGACUGCUCUUCCACCCCCUGAUUUCUCCGUCCUCCUGAUUUUCCUGAGGAGAUGGACCAGCUCUUUGGAGCUGGGGUAUGGGAUCCUCUCUGGCAGCGUGCUGCAGGACAAAGGUGGCUUCAACAGAAGUGCAGGGAUACGCAAAAAAGAUUUGUAUUGUCCUUUACAGUUUAUGGAGCACCUCCCCCCGCCCAGGAACCACAUCACCUCCUGGAGGGUUUGGACUGUGGACCAGCACAGGCUCAGGUCAAAGAAUGACCUAGAGACACAAGGAGGCCAUGUGGAUGCAAUGUCUGCCGAAGACUCCCUCCUGUCGUGCCAGCUUGUGUUCCAGAAAGAAAGCGGGAGCCCAAGCCAGCAUUUACCCAUGUGGGUCAACUUCCAAUAAGCACAUCAAAGCACCUGAAAAUAUACCCCAGACAGAUCUUUGGGACUGACACAGGAGAACCACCCCAGAAUGUUAUUGAAAACAUUGCCAAUAAAAGUGAUGAACCACUUCUGCA
rnacentral:lncRNA from 12 species